rnacentral:rRNA from 1 species
UGGAUCCAGACUUUGAUUCUGGCUCAGGAUGAACGCUAGCUACAGGCUUAACACAUGCAAGUCGAGGGGAAACGACAUCGAAAGCUUGCUUUUGAUGGGUGUCGACCGGCGCACGGGUGAGUAACGCGUAUCCAACCUGCCCAUCACUUGGGGAUAACCUUGCGAAAGUAAGACUAAUACCCAAUGACGUCUCUAGAAGACAUCUGAAGGAGAUUAAAGAUUUAUCGGUGAUGGAUGGGGAUGCGUCUGAUUAGCUUGUUGGCGGGGUAACGGCCCACCAAGGCGACGAUCAGUAGGGGUUCUGAGAGGAAGGUCCCCCACAUUGGAACUGAGACACGGUCCAAACUCCUACGGGAGGCAGCAGUGAGGAAUAUUGGUCAAUGGACGAGAGUCUGAACCAGCCAAGUAGCGUGCAGGAUGACGGCCCUAUGGGUUGUAAACUGCUUUUAUAAGGGAAUAAAGUGAGCUACGUGUAGCUUUUUGCAUGUACCUUAUGAAUAAGGACCGGCUAAUUCCGUGCCAGCAGCCGCGGUAAUACGGAAGGUCCGGGCGUUAUCCGGAUUUAUUGGGUUUAAAGGGAGCGUAGGCCGGGGAUUAAGCGUGUUGUGAAAUGUAGAUGCUCAACAUCUGCACUGCAGCGCGAACUGGUUUCCUUGAGUACGCACAAAGUGGGCGGAAUUCGUGGUGUAGCGGUGAAAUGCUUAGAUAUCACGAAGAACUCCGAUUGCGAAGGCAGCUCACUGGAGCGCAACUGACGCUGAAGCUCGAAAGUGCGGGUAUCGAACAGGAUUAGAUACCCUGGUAGUCCGCACGGUAAACGAUGGAUGCCCGCUGUUGGUCCGAAUAGGUCAGCGGCCAAGCGAAAGCAUUAAGCAUCCCACCUGGGGAGUACGCCGGCAACGGUGCAACUCAAAGGAAUUGACGGAAUA